rnacentral:rRNA from 1 species
GAUGAACGCUGGCGGCGUGCCUAAUACAUGCAAGUCGAGCGAACAGACGAGGAGCUUGCUCCUUUGACGUUAGCGGCGGACGGGUGAGUAACACGUAGGUAACCUACCUAUAAGACUGGGAUAACUUCGGGAAACCGGAGCUAAUACCGGAUAAUAUUUCGAACCGCAUGGUUCGAUAGUGAAAGAUGGCUUUGCUAUCACUUAUAGAUGGACCUGCGCCGUAUUAGCUAGUUGGUAAGGUAACGGCUUACCAAGGCAACGAUGCGUAGCCGACCUGAGAGGGUGAUCGGCCACACUGGAACUGAGACACGGUCCAGACUCCUACGGGAGGCAGCAGUAGGGAAUCUUCCGCAAUGGGCGAAAGCCUGACGGAGCAACGCCGCGUGAGUGAUGAAGGUCUUCGGAUCGUAAAACUCUGUUAUUAGGGAAGAACAAACGUGUAAGUAACUGUGCACGUCUUGACGGUACCUAAUCAGAAAGCCACGGCUAACUACGUG